AGGGAUGCAGCAUGGGCCUGGAAGGAGGCGGAUGUUCAUCCUAGAGUGGCGCAUUUUCUCUAAAAACUAGUUUGGGAUCGAUUACCAUGCAGAAAGACUCUCUACCAUAUGGGUAUUCCUAUGUCCCCUUAUCAUGACUAGUGUGUGGAGAUCAAAGAAUCUAUUGACCAUGUGCUCUUCAAGUGUCUUAGUUAUUAUAAAUUUGAAGCCAGGCUUUUAGUUCUUUGUUCCUAUCCCUUCACCUUUAGAACUUGGAGGUUUUUCUCCAAUCUACUAAGGGGGGUAGUUUCAAAAAAGAUGUUAAUUAGAAGUUAUUUCUUUAUGUUAUAUUGCCUAUCA
rnacentral:lncRNA from 1 species